rnacentral:rRNA from 1 species
UACAUAUCAAUAAGCGGAGGAAAAGAAACUAACAAGGGAUUCCCCUAGUAACUGCGAGUGAAACGGGAAAAGCUCAAAAUUUAAAAUCUGACAGUCUUUGGCUGUUCGAGUUGUAAUCUGGAGAAGCGUCUUCCGUGCUGGACCGUGUACAAGUCUCCUGGAACGGAGCGUCAUAGAGGGUGAGAAUCCCGUCUUUGACACGGACUACCAGUGCUUUGUGAUGCGCUCUCAAAGAGUCGAGUUGUUUGGGAAUGCAGCUCCAAAUGGGUGGUAAACUCCAUCUAAAGCUAAAUAUUGGCGAGAGACCGAUAGCGAACAAGUACCGUGAGGGAAAGAUGAAAAGCACUUUGGAAAGAGAGUUAAACAGUACGUGAAAUUGCUGAAAGGGAAACGCUUGAAGUCAGUCGCGUUUGCUAGGACUCAGCCUUGCCUCGGCUUGGUGCAUUUCCUAGUGAACGGGCCAGCAUCACUUUUGGCUGCGGGAAAAAGGUCAGAGGAAUGUGGCACCUCCGGGUGUGUUAUAGCCUCGGGCUGUAUACCGUGGCUGGGAGUGAGGAACUCAGCACGCCUUAAUGGCGGGGCUUCGGCCACCUUCGUGCUUAGGAUGCUGGCGUAAUGGCUUUAAACGACCCGUCUUGAAACACGGACCAAGGAGUCUAACAUGCCUGCGAGUGUUUGGGUGGAAAACCCGAGCGCGCAAUGAAAGUGAAAGUUGGGACCUCUGUCGUGGAGGGCACCGACGCCCGGACCUGAACCUCGGUGACGGCUCUGCGGUAGAGCAUGCAUGUUGGGACCCGAAAGAUGGUGAACUAUGCCUGAAUAGGGUGAAGCCAGAGGAAACUCUGGUGGAGGCUCGUAGCGAUUCUGACGUGCAAAUCGAUCGUCAAAUUUGGGUAUAGGGGCGAAAGACUAAUCGAACCAUCUAGUAGCUG